rnacentral:rRNA from 1 species
UACGGAGGGUGCAAGCGUUAUUCGGAAUUACUGGGCGUAAAGCGUUCGUAGGCGGUUUAACAAGUCAGAUGUGAAAUCCCACGACUCAAUCGUGGAAGUGCGUUUGAUACUGUUAGACUAGAGUAUUGGAGGGGAGAAGGGAAUUCCUGGUGUAGAGGUGAAAUUCGUAGAUAUCAGGAGGAACAACGGAGGCGAAGGCGCUUCUCUGGACAAUUACUGACGCUGAGGAACGAAAGCGUGGGGAGCAAACAGG